GAUGAACGCUGGCGGCGUGCCUAAUACAUGCAAGUCGAGCGAACGGACGAGAAGCUUGCUUCUCUGAUGUUAGCGGCGGACGGGUGAGUAACACGUGGUUAACCUACCUAUAAGACUGGGAUAACUUCGGGAAACCGUAGCUAAUACCGGAUAAUAUUUUGAACCGCAUGGUUCAAAAGUGAAAGACGGUCUUGCUGUCACUUAUAGAUGGAUCCGCGCUGCAUUAGCUAGUUGGUAAGGUAACGGCUUACCAAGGCAACGAUGCAUAGCCGACCUGAGAGGGUGAUCGGCCACACUGGAACUGAGACACGGUCCAGACUCCUACGGGAGGCAGCAGUAGGGAAUCUUCCGCAAUGGGCGAAAGCCUGACGGAGCAACGCCUCGUGAGUGAUGAAGGUCUUCGGAUCGUAAAACUCUGUUAUUAGGGAAGAACAUAUGUGUAAGUAACUGUGCACAUCUUGACGGUACCUAAUCAGAAAGCCACGGCUAACUACGUG
rnacentral:rRNA from 1 species